GAUGAACGCUGGCGGCAUGCCUAAUACAUGCAAGUCGAGCGAAGCGGGGACGGGUGAGUAACACGUGGAUACCAUCAUAUAAGACUGGGAUAACUUCGGGAAACCGGAGCUAUACCGGAUGCUUACAGAUGGAUCCGCGCUGCAUUAGCUAGUGGGGAGGGGAACGGUUUACCAACGACACGAUGCAUAGCCGACCUGAGAGGGUGAUCGGCCACACUGGAACUGAGACACGGUCCAUACUCCUACGGGAGGCAGCAGUGGGGAAUCUUCCGCAAUGGGCGAAAGCCUGACGGCGCAACGCCGCGUGAGUGAAGAAGGUCUUCGGAUCGUAAAUCUCUGUUAUUAGGGAAGCGGUACCUGAACAGAAAGCAACGGCUAACUACGUGCCAGCAGCCGCGGUAAUAC
rnacentral:rRNA from 1 species